GUCCUUUUAGCUCAGCGGUAGAGCGCCUCACUCAUGCAGGUGAGGUCAGUUGUUCAAAUCGGCUGUAAGGCU